rnacentral:rRNA from 1 species
AUUAGCUAGUUGGUGAGGUAAUGGCUCACCAAGGCGACGAUCCCUAGCUGGUCUGAGAGGAUGAUCAGCCACACUGGAACUGAGACACGGUCCAGACUCCUACGGGAGGCAGCAGUGGGGAAUAUUGCACAAUGGGCGCAAGCCUGAUGCAGCCAUGCCGCGUGUAUGAAGAAGGCCUUCGGGUUGUAAAGUACUUUCAGCAGUGAGGAAGGUUGAUACGUUAAUAGCUGUAUGAUUUGACGUUAGCUGCAGAAGAAGCACCGGCUAACUCCGUGCCAGCAGCCGCGGUAAUACGGAGGGUGCGAGCGUUAAUCGGAAUUACUGGGCGUAAAGCGCAUGCAGGUGGUUUGUUAAGUCAGAUGUGAAAGCCCGGGGCUCAACCUCGGAAUAGCAUUUGAAACUGGCAGACUAGAGUACUGUAGAGGGGGGUAGAAUUUCAGGUGUAGCGGUGAAAUGCGUAGAGAUCUGAAGGAAUACCGGUGGCGAAGGCGGCCCCCUGGACAGAUACUGACACUCAGAUGCGAAAGCGUGGGGAGCAAACAGGAUUAGAUACCC